rnacentral:misc_RNA from 1 species
GAAAGGUAUAUUUUCGUCUCCAGAAAUGUUCUAUAUCAACUUCAAACAUUAAAAACUUUGUAAUUUUCGACUCUCGAAUUUCGAAACAAGUGAAUCAAAAUAAUGACAGUAGCCUUCAAAGCAAUUACUUCAAACUGUAGUUACCUAUCAAAAAACAAAAGUUUUUGCUCAGUUCAACUGAAAACUCAACAGGGAGAGAUCU